AUUCUUCAAGGUUUGGAGCGCAGCUGCUGCCUUCAGCCACUGACGGGAGGACCUUGCGCACGAGGAGGAGAGCUGCCUCCUUUUCUCUCUCUCUCUUUCUCUCUCUCUUUCCUUUCUCAGUCUCACAGAGACAGGCAGCAUCCCUCAGCCCCGGCACUGAAAACAGAAGACAUUCAAGGGGAGAAAAAUUAAUAAUGGAGAAGAAAAGAACGGGAUUAUAAAAGCAGGGAGUAAUCAAGGGAAAUCUGAAGCAAGGACAAAUAGAGUUGAAAAUAGAUUUUCAUCUCAGGCUCUUGUGUUUGUUGUUUUGGGUCUUUGAGAUUUGGGUCGUGCAUUGCUUUUCUUCAGCCAGCCUGUGGAGUAUAGGAUCACAAAUAGCAUUUUAAGGCCAUGGACAUUGCCUCUUCUCCUGCCUCUAGGCUGACCAUGACAAACUGUUCUGUUUUUAUGUGAUCCUGCUGUGAAUUCUGCUGUUGCAGCGGGCUUCUUCGAGCAAAAAUUCAUCCCACACAUUGGUAUCUGUAUUCAGAAGGCCUGACAGAUUCAAGAAACAAACCCUAACGAGAAAGCUCUUUAGUAGAACAAAAACAUGGCCAAGGGGAAGAUCUCUUCUCCAUGUGGUGAGCACCUGCCUGUUAUUUCCUGAUAUUUUAUGGUGGCACGCCAUAUUGUUUAGUUCAGAUAAAUGGGAUAAAUAUGCAAAAUGUAUUCAGAAAACAUCAAACUUCAACAACAAACAAACUAAUCAAUCUAUAUUUAACCACAUUUCCAUUUCACUAAGCUUUUAAGGUCUCUCUGCAGACGGCUGUUCAAAGAUGUAUAUUCACUGUCUAACCCCUUCACACACAUGCAUAAAUAUACUGACGUAUGCAUACUCAUUACUGUAUGACAC
ensembl:lncRNA